rnacentral:ncRNA from 1 species
AAAAAGACGUUGAAAGGAAGAGUAUAUAUAGGAAGUAGUCAAGAGCGAGUUGGUUAUGGUGUGAGUCCAAUACGAAGCCUAUAUUGAAGAACAUCCUGGAGUUGCUAACCGAAAUUUUAAAGAGUAGGCUUAGACGGAACCAAACCGUUAUCAAGUUGGAACGCACUAAGAUUUAUCUUGCUGCGUUAUUUGAGAGAACUUGAUAAUAUAUUCAGGUUAAUCAGGGUGGUACCGCGGAGAUAUAAACUUUCGUCCCUAUA